UAGGGAAUCUUCCACAAUGGACGCAAGUCUGAUGGAGCAACGCCGCGUGAGUGAAGAAGGCUUUCGGGUCGUAAAACUCUGUUAUGAAGAAGAACGUGCGUGACAGUAACUGGUCAUGCAGUGACGGUAUUCAAUCAGAAAGUCACGGCUAACUACGUGCCAGCAGCCGCGGUAAUACGUAGGUGGCAAGCGUUGUCCGGAUUUAUUGGGCGUAAAGCGAGUGCAGGCGGUCUUUUAAGUCUGAUGUGAAAGCCUUCGGCUUAACCGAAGAAGGGCAUCGGAAACUGGGAGACUUGAGUGCAGAAGAGGAGAGUGGAACUCCAUGUGUAGCGGUGAAAUGCGUAGAUAUAUGGAAGAACACCAGUGGCGAAGGCGGCUCUCUGGUCUGUAACUGACGCUGAGGCUCGAAAGCGUGGGUAGCAA
rnacentral:rRNA from 1 species